rnacentral:rRNA from 1 species
ACAAGCGGUGGAGUAUGUGGUUUAAUUCGAUGCAACGCGAAGAACCUUACCUGGUCUUGACAUCCCGGAGACCCUUAGGAAACUAGGGGUGCUUCCAUCUGGAAGAAUCUGGAGACAGGUGCUGCAUGGCUGUCGUCAGCUCGUGUCGUGAGAUGUUGGGUUAAGUCCCGCAACGAGCGCAACCCUUGCCUUUAGUUGCCAGCAGUUCGGCUGGGCACUCUAAAGGGACUGCCGGUGUUAAACCGGAGGAAGGUGGGGGAUGACGUCAAGUCCUCAUGGCCCUUAUGACCAGGGCUACACACGUACUACAAUGGCCGAUACAAAGGGCAGCGACACUGCGAGGUGAAGCCAAUCCCGUAAAAUCGGUCUCAGUCCGGAUUGGAGUCUGCAACUCGACUCCAUGAAGUUGGAAUCGCUAGUAAUCGUGGAUCAGCAUGCCACGGUGAAUACGUUCCCGGGCCUU